GAUGAACGCUGGCGGCGUGCCUAAUACAUGCAAGUCGAGCGAAUGGAUUAAGAGCUUGCUCUUAUGAAGUUAGCGGCGGACGGGUGAGUAACACGUGGGUAACCUGCCCAUAAGACUGGGAUAACUCCGGGAAACCGGGGCUAAUACCGGAUAACAUUUUGAACCGCAUGGUUCGAAAUUGAAAGGCGGCUUCGGCUGUCACUUAUGGAUGGACCCGCGUCGCAUUAGCUAGUUGGUGAGGUAACGGCUCAUCAAGGUAACGAUGCGUAGCCGACCUGAGAGAGUGAUCGGCCACACUGGGACUGAGACACGGCCCAGACUCCUACGGGAGGCAGCAGUAGGGAAUCUUCCGCAAUGGACGAAAGUCUGACGGAGCAACGCCGCGUGAGUGAUGAAGGCUUUCGGGUCGUAAAACUCUGUUGUUAGGGAAGAACAAGUGCUAGUUGAAUAAGCUGGCACCUUGACGGUACCUAACCAGAAAGCCACGGCUAACUACGUGCCAGCCGCCGCCGUAA
rnacentral:rRNA from 1 species